CUCUCUCUCUCUCUCUCUCUCUCUCUCUCUCUCUCUCUCUCUUUCUCUCUUUCUCUUUCCCCUCUCUCUGAGGAAUAAAAUGAAAUGUCAUUAAUUAUUUGGUGUUGAAAUUGCAAUUAAUCUUUUACAAGUUUCAUAACGACCAUUGCUAAGGCAGGGAUUAAAAGAAAUUAAUUAUAUGGCAACUAAUUAAAUCAUAAUAAUAAAUUCUUAAAUUAACACAAGACCAACAAUUAGCAGGAGAAAGGGGAAUAGUUGAUUGGUUUCAGUGUUGGACUCGCAAUUAAUAGGUGAGGGUUUCAAUUCCCAGGCUGGGCAGUACAUUGUAUUUUUGAGCAAAAUCCUUCAUUUCACACUGUUCCUGUUCCCUCAAAUGUAAACAAGUAUCCACUAUGGCUGGUAAUCCUUUUCCCUGUGAUGGACCGGCUCCCUCUCAGUCACAUAUAACCCAAUGAAACUGGAAUAAGCUUUGGUUUAAUACACCUGUAAACACCUGAGAUCUAAACUAUCGCUGGUACCUAUUUUAUUUCUCUUACCCCUAAAUGGUUAAAAAACAAGAAUAAGCUUUGGUUCCAAACACCUGGGAUCUAAACUAUCACUGGUACCUAUUUUAUUUCUCUUACCCCUAAAUGGUUAAAAAACAAGAUCAGGACUUGAACUCAGAAUAUGGAAACCAAAAUGCUAUGUUUUUAUAUUGUUUCUGCCAUUCUUAGCAUUUUAGCACUUUCUGGUCAUUGAAAGAACUUGAAAAAUAUGGUAAAUGUUCUAUUGGUAUAUCUUUGCACCAUAUAUUAACCCUUUAGUGUUUAAACUGAGCAUAUCUGACCAAAAUGUUCUGCCAUGUUUUGCUUUCGAAGUGGCCAGAUCUAGCCUCUCACACCAACCCUAUAUCAUUCUAUAAAUUAACAGUUCAAGUUACGGCAGUACAUAUGUACUAGUUAUGGCGGUACAUAUUCUAAAAAAAUAGGUGGCGAGCUGGCAGAAACGUUAGCACGCCGGGCGAAAUGCUUAGCAGUAUUUCGUCUGCUGUUACGUUCUGAGUUCAAAUUCCGCCGAG